rnacentral:rRNA from 1 species
GAUGAACGCUGGCGGCGUGCUUAACACAUGCCAGUCGAACGAUGAAGCCCAGCUUGCUGGGUGGAUUAGUGGCGAACGGGUGAGUAACACGUGAGUAACCUGCCCUUAACUCUGGGAUAAGCCUGGGAAACUGGGUCUAAUACCGGAUAGGAGCGUCCACCGCAUGGUGGGUGUUGGAAAGAUUUAUCGGUUUUGGAUGGACUCGCGGCCUAUCAGCUUGUUGGUGAGGUAAUGGCUCACCAAGGCGACGACGGGUAGCCGGCCUGAGAGGGUGACCGGCCACACUGGGACUGAGACACGGCCCAGACUCCUGCGGGAGGCAGCAGUGGGGAAUAUUGCACAAUGGGCGCAAGCCUGAUGCAGCGACGCCGCGUGAGGGAUGACGGCCUUCGGGUUGUAAACCUCUUUCAGUAGGGAAGAAGCGAAAGUGACGGUACCUGCAGAAGAAGCACCGGCUAACUACGUG